rnacentral:rRNA from 1 species
GACGAACGCUGGCGGCGUGCUUAACACAUGCAAGUCGAACGGAAAGGCCCUGCUUUUGUGGGGUGCUCGAGUGGCGAACGGGUGAGUAACACGUGAGUAACCUGCCCUUGACUUUGGGAUAACUUCAGGAAACUGGGGCUAAUACCGGAUAGGAGCUCCUGCUGCAUGGUGGGGGUUGGAAAGUUUCGGCGGUUGGGGAUGGACUCGCGGCUUAUCAGCUUGUUGGUGGGGUAGUGGCUUACCAAGGCUUUGACGGGUAGCCGGCCUGAGAGGGUGACCGGGGACAUUGGGACGCGGCGACGGCGCGGGCUCGGGGGGGGGGGGGGGGGGGGGGAUAUGGAAGAGUGGGGGGGGGUCUGGGGCGGGAGGGGCGGGGGGGGGGGCGCGCCGUCGGUGGUGAACGCGGGUUUCGCGGGUGAGGAGGGGGGGUGGGCAGGAAGGGGAAAAGAGGCAUCGGCUACUGAGGGGCCGGCAGCGGCGGAAAUAGUAGGAAGAGACUGUUCUGAAC